UGGACUCUGCCUCCGGAAGCAAGUGCUAAUAUGACUUUUUUUUUUUUUUAUUAUUUUUUUUUUUUUGACAGGCAGAGUGGACAGUGAGAGAGAGAGACAGAGAGAAAGGUCUUCCUUUGCCGUUGGUUCACCCUCCAAUGGCCGCCGCGGCCAGCGCGCUGCGGCCGGCACACCGCGCUGAUCCGAUGGCAGGAGCCAGGAGCCAGGUGCUUUUCCUGGUCUCCCAUGGGGUGCAGGGCCCAAGCACCUGGGCCAUCCUCCACUGCACUCCCUGGCCACAGCAGAGGGCUGGCCUGGAAGAGGGGCAACCGGGACAGAAUCCGGCGCCCCGACCGGGACUAGAACCCGGUGUGCCGGCGCCGCUAGGCGGAGGAUUAGCCUAGUGAGCCGCGGCGCCGGCCCUAAUAUGACUUUUGACAGGAGUUUUUGCAAGUUGGUGUAGCCUAAAGGUGGGCAAACAAGACUCCCAGGCUAGACCUCUGCUGCCACCUGUUUUUGUCAAUAAAGUUUUAUUGGUGCACGGAGACACCUAUUUGUUGAUGUGCUGCCAAUGGCUGCUUUUGCACCACCUUGAGUGGUUGUUAAAGACACCAUAUGGCCCAAGAAACCUGAAAUAUGUCCUGGCUGGGUAUAAGCCCUGACAUCCUCCGCCCCGUUAACUGAGCAUCUGUUAAAUAUUUAGUCCCUGCUGAGAAGUGAAUUUGUGAGUGCUUUUCCAGUAGUACUCAGUUGAAACAAUGCUCAGGGCCCUUGGCGGUGUCUUAAUUCUGUGAUUGUUCAGAGGGAGAGUAUGGAUGGCAGGAAGCAGGACGGAUUCAAGGCAGGAAGAGGCCAACAGUUGUCCUCUCAGCUGCAAGUCACUGACCAUGCUACCUGGAGAAGCUAUAGAGAUGGCUGGAACUUCCAACUUGGAGUACAACUUUAUUAACUGUAUUCAUUCAGGCCUUACCAUCCAUAUCAUGGACUUGUGUUUCCAGGCCAACAGGUGGGUGCCCUUUGCCACCAGCUGGUGUUUGGAAGGAUCAAGUCGGACAAUAUGAACCCAGCUGUUUUCUAAACUAUUAGGGUACUAUAUUUGUGGUAAGAAAGCAUCUGAGUGGAUGUUAUUAUCUCUAUUUGGCAUUCAGGGAAAUGAGACUUAGGUAACAUCAAGUGGUAAGCCAGUGGAAGACCUGGAAGCUAGUUUCUGACUUCAAGUCUCAGCUCUUUCCAGUUUACCAUAAUACUUCCUCUAAUGAUGUGUUGCUGUGGUUUCAGAAGUGUUCAGUCAUUUGGGUUGUUUUUUCAUUUAUUCACCAUUUGAUUAUUAUUUAAGAGCUGAUUAUAGGGACUGGCACUGUGGCAUACUGGGUAAAGCUGCCACCUGCUGCACUGACAUCCUAUAUGGGUGCUGGUUUGAGUCCCAGCUUAUCCAUUUCUGAUCCAGCUCCCUGCUAAUGCACCUGGGAAAGCAGUGGAAGAUAGCCCAAGACCUUGGACCCCUUCACCUACAUGGGAGACCCAGAUGAAGCUCUUGUCUCCUGGCUUCAGCCUGGCCCAGCCCUGACCAUUGCAACCAUUUGUGGAGUGAACCAGUGGAUGGAAGAUCUCUCUCCCUGUGUCUCUCCUUCCCUCUUUCUCUCUGCCUUUGCCUUUCCUUCUCUGUAAUGCUGACUUUUUCAAAUAAAUAAAUAAAUAAAUUUUAAAAAAAGAGCUAUGAGCUGGAAGAAAGCUGAAUAUUUCCAGGAGAACAAUGACUCUGUAAAUAAGGGACUUUGAAUCAUUUUGUCCUUGGACUCCUGAGACUGAGCCUGCAGAAGUACGUGGAUUCCCCUGAUUUCCCCUGUGCUUUCCAAGGAGCUGGCUUUUAUUUGGGAUGUGGAACAGAGAGUAGGUGAGAUGGGAGAGAGAAGGCAAUCCCAUCUUUCUUACAAAAUGUUGCCAGAGGCAUUGUUUUUGUGGGGAGCAACCCGGACUAGACUAAGUUACUGGAAUUAAGACUUAUUCUAUGCAUCUGCUCUCCCACAAUAUGGCGCUGGGAGAGGAGCAAACAGCUUCUACACAGCUGCCUCCAGUUCAACCAAUAAACUGUAGGACCUGCUCCUGAUUGGAGGAGAGCAGCGUACUUGGCGUGUGGGUAGCAGAGUUGGGAUUGGUGGAGGAGGACUAUAAAGGAGGAGAGAGACAACAUGCACCAGGAACAUCUAUGAGGAACAUCUGAGCAGCCCCCGAGAGAGCCGGCCGGCGGUGUGCCACUCCCCCGCGGAAGUGGGGAAAGUGGCUAGGGGGAACCGCCCUUCCACGGAUGUGGAAGGGAUGGUAGCCAACCCGGGAAGAACCAGCAGCAAACCCGGGAAGGGCCGAGCAGACAAAAGAACAGCGCAGGGUCCUGUGUCGUUCCUCCAUGAAGACGGGGAGCGACAGUUUUAUGUUGUGUGUGUAUGCAUGUGUCUCUCUGUGUGUCCAUACUGUGACAGAAAAGAGAAAGAGAAGCCGGCGCCGUGGCUCAAUAGGCUAAUCCUCCACCUUGCGGCGCCGGCACACCGGGUUCUAGUCCCGGUUGGGGCGCCGGAUUCUGUCCCGGUUGCCCCUCUUCCAGGCCAGCUCUCUGCUAUGGCCAGGGAGUGCAGUGGAGGAUGGCCCAGGUGCUUGGGCCCUGCACCCCAUGGGAGACCAGGAAAAGCACCUGGCUCCUGGCUCCUGCCAUCGGAUCAGCGCGGUGCGCCGGCUGCAGCGGCGGCCAUUGGAGGGUGAACCAACGGCAAAAAGGAAGACCUUUCUCUCUGUCUCUCUCUCACACUGUCCACUCUGCCUGUCAAAAAUAAAAAAAAAAAAAAAAAAAAGAAAAGAGAAAGAGAGAUACUGAAGUGUUGAUGAAAGUAGAUUGUACUGUCAACUAAAGGAUGCAGACAGCCUGGGCUUGUCAAAGAAAGUUAAGAUUUUGUACCUAAAGUCCAAGGAAAUACAUAUCAGAGAAAUGGUCAAAUAUCAAUUAUCCCGCUAAAUGACAUAUAUUAAAAGUCAGAUAUUGACUUAUUCUACCAUCUCUUAAGUAAGAGGCCCCAUUCAGAUUCUAUUUAUUCAGUGAUGUAUCUUGUAAUUCUUAAAGAAGUCUUUAUUCAUGUUUUAGAGAGAGAGAGAGAGAGAGAGAGAGAGAGCACACUUCCAUCUAUUGAUUCAUUCCCCAAAGGCCAAAAACAUUCAGGAGCCAGACAUCAGGAGCUGGGAAUUCAAUCUAGGUCUCCCACGUGGAUGGCAAGAACCCAAGGACUUGAGCCACCAGGGCUGCCUUCCAGGGUCCACAUUAUCAGGAAGCUGGAGUCAGGAGCCAGGGCCCAGGAGCAGAUUUAGGUAUUCCACUAUAGGACAUGGGUGUCCUAAUCAGUAUGUUCACUGCUAGGUCACAUCCCAUCCCCAUGUCUUGUAAUUUUUGAGAUGAUGAUCAUCAAAUGUGCUUGGAGGAACCUGCUCCUACCAAAACAUUAAAUUUGCCUUGAGAUAAGUGAAAUUCUUGAAAUUUUCUGUUUUUGAUCUUUUCCUUUUGACAGCAAAUGCUUGCCAAUAUUUUCCUCAUAUUUAAUGCAAUUGACCACAUGUUCUCUUUGGAUUUAUCGUGAAUCAAGAAGUCAUUUGUAUGCUCCAGAACAAAGGUGCCAAUGAAGUUGCCCAAUGGAAAAAAAAAAAAAAACAGUGUUCCAGAAUUUUCCUUUGUACAGUUGUCACCUGAAAAGACAUCUGAGAGGUUGAGUCUCCCUUAUCCAAAAUGCGUGUGGCCAGAAGUGUUCCCAAGUUCAGAUUUUUUCCAGAUCUUGGACACAUCCUGAGACAUCUUGGGAAUGGGACCCAAGUGUAUACAUGAAAUCCAUUCAUAUUUCAUGUGCAACUUAUGCAUGUAGCCUGAAGGUGCAUCAGCAGGGCGCUGGAUCGGAAGUGGAGCAGCUGGGACCUGAACCAGUGUCCAUAUGAGAUGACAGCACCAACCAACCACUCCCCUCCUCCCCUCAGUCGUGAUUUGAUGCUGCACAGAACCUUCGCCAAUGUGGCCGCCCAUUUUUGGAGUUCUUAGCCUCCAGAGCCAUGAACCAAAACAAACCUCUUUGCUUUAUGAAUUACCUGGUUUCAGGUAUUCUUUUAUAGCCACAAAACUGGACUAAGACUGUUUUUAUCCUUUUUUCCCCUACCAGGCAUUACUUCGGGCCCCCAUCUCUUUGUUGAUUCUUUCAUUUCUGACUCCUUCCUUCUCAGGUGCUCAUGUGCUCAGUUGCUCAACUGUGGCCAGGCUGGAGGACAGAAAGGGACUUGUUCCUUGAUUACACCUUUGAGUUCUGUAUCUGAUGUUUUUGUCUCAUAAUAAAUUUCUACUUGCUACA